AGAGCACAACGACCAACACAGAGACCCCAGAGUCUGGGUGAUGGAAGAGGAAGACAGAAAACAGUUUAUGCAACCUGUGAAAACACAGCACUCAGGAGCUGAGGCAGAGGCUCUCCAGUGUGGCUAGCCUGAACUACAGAGCAAGGUUCUGUCAACAGAGUGGGGUUAGGGGGAAAGGGACAGAGAAGAGGGAGGGAGGAGAGAAAAGAGAGAGUGUGAGUUUUCUCACCAAGUGUCUCUGGAGUCAAAGACAAUUCAAUCAAACUUUCUGAGGGCAGAAAUUGACAAGGUGAUUUAAAAGUUAUACAGACAUACAAAAGAUAUGAACUAGCAAGCUCUGAUUUUCAGGAAAGGUUGAAUGUUUUUGUCAUGCUAAAACCUCAAGUUCUCCGUGAAGCUGCAGUGACGAAAUCCAGUGCAGGUGCGUGCGGACAAUGGACUCACUGUGGCCAUGAAACACGGUCACUUUUGUUCCAAAAUCUGAUUCUUGACAAAGCCAAUAAAGGAAGGAAACAGUCUUAAACAAAUAGUUCUAGAAGAACAGGACAGUACUACAGGAAAAGAAUUCAAUGUCCAGUUCAUCACACAUGGCAAUGAAAGUAAGGUGGAUCAGAGACCUGGACACAAUUGCAGCUUCUGGGACCGGAUAUGGGAAAAUAGUUCCCCAACCUCAGGGAAGAUUUUGAAGAACACAGGAAGCUUUCCCCAUGAAAGAAAAACAAAUGAGGCAAUUCUGAUUGUAUCCAAAGUAAACUCUUCUGCCCAACAAGAGACUGUUUACUUCCACUUCUGGUCAGGAUGGAGUCACAGGAUCCAAGCUUAAGCAUCCUGUCCCCUGCACUGUGAUUCCUGGGGACCAGGACAGUCUGGGCACUGAGGCAUGCCUGUGGAGUGGCCCGUUCAGAGAGAACCAUCUGGGGCCAGAGACGUUGACUCAAACAUUGAAGCCUGGCUCCAAGUUGUAUCUUUGGGUCAUACGUGUGGGUGGGAAGUCCCAAAUGCAGGUCUCUUUACCUAGCAUGUCAGUCCAUUCUGGAGGCUCCUUCCCCACCCUUCAGGGUAGCUGUUGAGGGUUUAAUCAGGCUACCCACCCCCAUGGCCAACCCCAGUUUCUUCCCAGGUACUCGGCUCCUCCUUCCUUGCCUCCUGUCCAGGGCCCUGGCUCCAGCUGCUCUGCCCGGCUGAGCGUUACUAUUUUUGGCUGUAACCUAAGCAGCUGCCCAUUAAAAUUCCAUUAGUUUCAAAGGCUGGAGCUGCAGUUGAUAUUUCUAAUUAUUGUGAAAUUAAAAUUGUCUCUGUAAUUUAAUGAUAAUUGCACGAGAUGCCAGCUGGUGCCCCAGGGAGCUGCCCUGUUCCUAAGCAGAACUUGGAAAGUCUCUUGAAAGUUCUUUGAAUAAGGAAACAGGAAGGGGAGGAGGGGGCCGGCACACAGUUGGAAUCUAAAUUUCCGGCAUCAAUAGGCUGUGGUGAACCCAGGCCUCUGAGGAGGCAGCUUGGCUCCCUGAGUCAGUGGGGCUAUAGUGAAAGUGAGUCUCCAAGGAACGGAGUUCUGCUUGAUUUACUGGCCUCUCUUCCAGCCAUGUCUGGAGAACUGACAGGAGGACUGGGGUAAGGGAGCAAUGGCCGGCCCUGAUGAUCCUAGGGUCUCCCUUCAUCCUGGCCUCCUUUAUCCCAACUUGGAGCCCUUCGAAAGCUUGCCGCGUGUGGACACACGUGGCCUCUGCUGCAGACCCUGCAUGCCUCCCUGUCCCCCGCAUACCAUUGCCCUCACUCCUGCUCUGCACUGUUGGGUCUGGGAACCUAAGUCCCUCUCUCAGGAGGCUCCUCAUGCUCGCCCUGUCUCUGAUGCCAGGCCAUGGCACACUUCUGCUGUCCUCACAGGGGCCAUGCUGCUGUCCUGAUGAACUUCCAGUUCUCGUGAGUCUAAGGCUCAGGUCAGAUUCUAUGUUCCACAGGCUGCCAAGGCCCCAUACUCUGGAUGCUACAUGGCCAGUGAUACUCUGUGUUAGCUGUCCCUUGAGGCAGGGCAAGCCCAGGUUCUGACCAUUUGCAGAAUGACGGUUCAGCACAAAGCCAUCUCCCCUAGUGAACUUUACCGAGUGGCAAGAAAGCUCUGUAUGCGGCCAUUUCUGCUCUUGCAUCGUUCUGCGUCUGGGUAUCUGCUCAGGCACACGAUGACUGUUCACCACCCUUCUCCCAGGACAGCCCUGCAGUGGGCAGAGCAGCCCACGUGGCUCCCUAUUCAACUGUCCUUGUCCUUUAAGCCAACUCUGUGCUUAGUUUAGUUGCUAAUUUUUUUUCAAUUUCUACUUCCUGUUAAAACUGUGUUUGGUUGCAGAUAUGAGAACAAUACCGAUCUGGUUUGAACUCACGUCUUAUUUGCAUAAAAAAAAGCAAAGCCGGGGUACCAGCACCACGGUAUCCUCUGACUUUCAUCCUUAAAGUUCCCUUGGAGUGCUAUAAAGCCAGGAGCCAGACGCCUCCACCUCACUCUUUUUGGUGAAGAAAUGAAAGGACAUGAAAAAAAAUAGGAUCUGGCAAGAUGGCUCAGCAGAUUAAAGGCAGUUGCUGCCAAGCUGGACAGCCUGAGUUCGAUUCCCAGAACCCACAUGGUAGAGCAAGGUAAUUGAUUCUUGCAAGUUGUCCUCUGACCUCCACGACAUGUUCAUGCCAAGGCCACCAACACACUGCACACACACACACACACACACACACACACACACACAGAGAGAGAGAGAGAGAGAGAGAGAGAAACCUGUGUCCCUAUUUGAAAAGCCUGUUCCCUAUAUUUUGCAGCAGCUUUCUCGGAUAUCUUGCUGUCACCAUAAAUUUUAAGGGACGUGUGACUGGAUUUAGCUAGGAACAUUGCUGCCCAAAAUAAAGUAAUAAAGAAUGAAUAUUGACAGUGUCAGAAGGUGCUGUGGGCAGGGUCUCCGGAUGACAAGAACCUGGGCAGACCUAGACACAAACUGUAUGGAGUCAGAUAAAUAAACCUGGCCAUUCUGGCCUCCAUGAGGGCAGGGUACAGCCCCCACCCCUGAGCCUGGUACCAGGCCACGACCUAGCACCUCCCAAGCCCUUCAGGAAGGGCCUCCUGGGUCAGUUCACUGCAGGGUCACAGGUAAGCAAGCACCCACUGGGAGAGUGUGUGUAGCAAUUGCCAUUACGGGAACUGGACCUUGAGCCUUUGUGGGACAAGAUUAGGAGCUGAAGUCCAAGGAGAACCGAGUCAUUGCAGAAUUGGAGCGGCCCUGGGUGGCAAUCUCCAGGGACAUCUGGACACCAGGCGUGUCCUGUUGUGUGCAGCUUCUGAUGAACCCAUGACUUCACAGUAAGGUACCAGGGUGGGUGCCAGUGGGGGCAGUGGGGAUAACCAUGCCAUGGGAGCUCCUGGGACAUCUGUACAUCUCCCACUGCCCAUGACCAACAACCCUCUGACCUCCUGUCCUCAUAGCCUCACCUUUGACCCUGCUUGUCCUAGAACACAGAGUGGAGAUUGUGGGAAACGUGGAUUCCAGCAUGUGGAGUAUUCCUCAACUACUGUACAACAGAUCACUACCAGGUACACUCAGGGCAAUGUCUGCUAAGAAGGACCUGUGGAGGUCCCUGGAAGAUGCAGGCAAGGAUGGGUAUCCCUGGAGCAGGUCACCCAGGCCUCCCGCAGGAAGUUCCCACAAGCUUCAGUUCUUGCCUUAUCUCAAGUCUAUCUUACGCAGAACCUCUGUCCAGCCCACGUCACCUGGAUGCUUAAAGCUCUCUUGUCAUGAUUGAUCGUUUUUACCUUAAUAACUGAAUUACUUUCCAAGUCACCCUGCUCAGAAACCUCUGAGAGCCCAAGAUUGCACUUCUUUCUCUAGAAAGAACCUUUAAGUCUCUGUCCCUAACCUUUAAGUUUUGCUCACCUGUAACUGUGUUAGGUCACGAUUUCAGUGCAGCCUCACUUCUUGCCGUUUCUACCUGGACCACUGCUCAUCACUGUCAGGGUCAUUUCUGCCAAGUGUGUGAAAUGUCAGCAGGGCUUCGAGCUGGGCCUCCUUCUCCAUCUACCCCUGAAGACUACAGCAGAGCCUUGGCAACUCCUCCCAGUGGGAGCUGCCAUCUUGGUAACUAUUCCUGUGAGGCUGGACUUCUGGACAGAAUCCUACAUUUAACAACCAGAAACUCUCCCAGCAGCAGCACACACAGAUGCCUGAGGAGCCCUAGCUGGUUACUUCGAGUCAGAAAUUUGUACAAAUAUAAAACAAUGCCACUUUCCUUGCUGAAACCUUGUUUUGGAAAAUACAUUUUUCAUACAAUUGGUCUUGAUGGUAACAUGUAAUAGGUUUAUUGUUCUGAAAUAAAUAACAUUUGCAUGUGUCUAAAGUUGAUUUUUUUAAGGUUUUCUCUAGGUACUAGUGCUGCUGUCUGGAACUCUUCAAAGUUCUCUGGGAUCCUUGAUCACUUUUCUGAGUCACCAGGAUCCGUGAGAUGAUGGUCUGGACUCUACCAUGCUCCAGUGACAUGCUGAGCUGCCCGCUGAGGUGCUGCAUGAACUGUGGAGCUGCCACUUAAAGGAACAUCUCCUCAGAUGGAUCCUUGAAGAGGCUGUUACAGUCCUCUUAGC
rnacentral:sRNA from 1 species